AAGGGAUCUUUUCCCAGGAGGCCCACAUCCUGCCCUUCAGCGCGGACACGGGAGGAAGUGGUGUGCAGCGGCCUGGGUCUGAGCGAGGCCAGUUCUCAGGGACCUGGUUUCAGCUCCAGGAGUGUGCCCGUACUAGCAUCUGGUGGCAUUAUUCCAUGUUUAUAUUCCAUGGAGAUCUAGAUCUUGAUUUGGAAAUUUAUGACAAAAUGUUCAGCGUUUGACUUGACAUCAGCAUUACCAAUGAAGGAUUAUAUUUUGAGGCCUAUGAAUAUUGCUAUAUAUACAUCUACUCCAUUGCAUCCAGCUGCUCAUGGUCUGUUACAGUGUGCCUAGAACAUAAUUUACUUAUGUUCUCUGCUAUGGAAGGACUUCCACAUUGUCUCAGCACAAGCAAGGCUGCUAUGAACAACCUAGACAUGCCCCAUUUUGGAAAAUGCUGAAGGACAUUUAUUUAGGCUCUAGUCUAGACCAACAGAGUUGCUGGGCCGUACAGCAUGUGCAUACAGCUCAGAUACCAUAAACAGUUUGAUUUCAGAAGUCCUCCCAGAUUACCGCUAGAAGGAUUCACCUAGUCACACCCUCUCCCCCCAGUAGUAUGAGUGUUUCUAUACAACAUCUUGCUAAUAUUUGGCAUUAAGUUUUCUAAUUUUUCUCAUUCCUGUCUA